rnacentral:tRNA from 1 species
GCCCCAGUAGCUCAGUGGUAGAGCGUUUGCGUGGUAAGCAAAAGGUCGCGAGUUCAAUCCUCGCCUGGGGCU